rnacentral:lncRNA from 1 species
UGUAUUUUAAACAAAAUUAUGGUUGGCAGUAAAGGAUAAACAUUCAGGGAUUCUUCUUGGAAAAUCUAAAUUCAAAACUUUCAAUGUAAAAUUGAAAGUCCGCUUUAAUACAUUUGAAAUGAUUUACUACAAAAACACAGGAGUAAAUGACGCAUAUUAACGAUUUAGCGGGGAAGAUAUUUGCAACUGUAUUUGAUACGAAUAUAAUAAUAUACUGCAAGCUUAGGGUUUACUCAAUUUAAAGCCAAUGUUAUACCGGAUUUGGAUGUCAAUAAUCCGUAAAGAUUAAAUGGUUUGAUAAACAGGAAGUAAAAGAUGAUACACAUGUGCAAGGAUGAAAAUAUUGAUGAAUAAUGUUACCAGGAUGAAAUAUCCCAGGAUUCGUAUGGAACGCCACGGCAACAUCAUCAGCCAGAUAUGACAGAGAAAAGACGUAGAAAAUUACAUGAAAUUGAGGAGUACAGUGACUCUCCUAGCAGAUCACAGAUCAAGCUCACCGUUCUCAAGAUUACAAAAAUUGCGUGUUUUUCUCAUGAUGAUUAAAAAAACUGAUUGAUAUUACUGAUGUUUAAUUAUAGCAAAAGCAUUCGUACACAAUUAAGUUUAAAUGGAAGUUAAAAAGUUGAGUAAUAAUAAAUAAAAGGGUUGCAAUCGAAUUUUUUGUUGAAAUAUUGUAGUCCUAAAAGGUCACGAAGGUCAAGGUCGAGGUCACGAUCUCAACAAUAGAGGUCAAGGUCAAGGAGUCCAGGCAAACAACGACGAAAAUCGAAGAAAAACAAACACAGAGACUAAUUCUAAAUUGUUCUUGUCAUUUUGUUUUACAUGGAAAAAUGUGUAUAUACUUUUCUUUAAAAGUCAUUUGCUAAUUUGUACAUGUACAUUUCUGGAUAUACCAUGCGCUGAAUUUCACUUUGACUCUAGAUUAAAACGUAAUUUUAUUACAGCUGCUUCAAAACUUAAACAGUGCUCUUCAACUUCAUUACCAGUAUGGUUAAAAUUAGCACAAGACUAAUUUUGUUUAUAAAGAUUGACUACAAGAACAAAUUUUAAGCUGCUGUUGACUAUAAAUAAAGACUUGUUUCUUCAACUUGACAACAGUACAGUCAUACCUUUUCUAAACUUGAAUGUUUGUUUAAAGAAUGAAAUAUCAUAUGAUAUAUUCAAAAACAUUAAUGCAAAACUGAAAGUUGUAAUAUCCCUGUGUGAACAUAAAACAGACUUGUGAGUGUUGUGAAAGGAACACAAUUAUGUCUCUAAAAUGUA